ensembl:snoRNA
UCAGCUCUGCCCUAUCAUACUCAGUGUGUGGCUGGCGUAUUUUCAGAGAGGAAGGCCCCCCUAAUGCAUGAUAGACCGGCCCCAAGUGGCCUCUCUCGGUUCCUAGGAGUGCAACAGUU